GGCGGAAUAGUUCAACUGGUAGAGAACAUUGGAAUCAUAAUCCAAAGGUUGUAGGUUCAAAUCCUAUUUCCGCUA
rnacentral:tRNA from 1 species